GCCUAUGAUUUGAUGAAGCCAAAAUAGUUUUUCUGAGUUAUGAGCAGAAAUACUUGACCCCAAACGUCGGGCUAUAUAUUAAAUUGAAGCUAUUGAAAAUUGCUAUUCGGUGUGGAAAUUUCAAGACUUCAGCCAAAAGAAAAAUAUUUAAAAAAUACAAAAACAACUGCAAAACGGCAAAUUAUCGGUAAUUAUGUUUGUAGUUUUUCAAUAUUUCCCUUUUAGCUAAAGUCCUGAAAUUUCUACACCAAAUAGCGUUUUUCAAUAGCUUCAAUUUGAUAUAUAGCCGAACGUUCAGUGUUGAGUAUUUCCGCUCAUAACUCAGAAAAACUAAAAUACACUGGCUUCAAUUUCCCCCCCUGAGUUAGCCUUCCAGUUUAUUUAUAGUUCAAUGUGUGGGAACGUGACCCAGUCUCCUCGGCGGCUCGUGAGCCACUUUUUACUUCUUCUCACAUUAUGACGUCAUACUGUGUAUCUAACUGAACAGACAACGGCAAAAUCAAGCAAAAUCUUAUCUAUUUUGUUAAGUAGCAAGUUCUCAACAAAGCCGUUGACAACUUGUCAACAAGCUGGGAACAAGCAGCGUGAACACAUCCUGUUGACAAGUUGUUGGAACAGCAUUGCUACAACCCAGUGGGCCGGCAAAACGACGUUUAUUCAACGUUUGAAUCAACGUUGGAAAUGAUCACCCAGACGUUGGAUAGACGUUUGAAAAAGG